GCCCGGCUGGCUCAGUUGGUAGAGUGUGCGACUCUUGAUCUUGGGGUUGUGGGUUCGAGCCCAUGUUGGGUG
rnacentral:tRNA from 1 species